GCCGACAUAGCUCAGCUGGUAGAGUAACUGACUUGUAAUCAGUAGGUGGAAGGUUCGACUCCUUCUGUCGGCA
rnacentral:tRNA from 3 species